UGGCUCUCGCAUCGAUGAAGAACGCAGCGAAAUGUGAUAAGUAAUGUGAAUUGCAGAAUUCAGUGAACCAUCGAAUCUUUGAACGCAUCUUGCGCUCUCUGGUAUUCCGGAGAGCAUGUCUGUUUGAGUGUCAUGAACUCUUCAACCCUUCAGUUUCUAGUGAAUUGUAAGGAGUUUGGAUUUUGAGCGUUGCUAAUCUGAUUAGCUCGUUCGUAAUGUAUUAGCAUCUCGAAAUCGAAAUUCGGAUUGACUCAGUGUAAUAGACUAUUCGCUGAGGACACUUUUUUAUUAAGGUGGCCGAACUAGAAAAAGUUGGAAGCUUCUAAUGCUGUUAGUCACAACAUUUUUCAAUUAGACCUCAGAUCAGGCAGGAUUACCCGCUGA
rnacentral:misc_RNA from 1 species